UGAUAGGUCAGAGGUGGAAGCGUGGCGACAUGUGUAGCUGACUGAUACUAAUCGAUCGAGGACUUAACCAAA
rnacentral:rRNA from 2 species